GAUUAAACAACUUGUCCAGGUGUGACCAUGGGGCUCUGUGAUGGCCUGUCCCACUGUAAACUGGCCCUGGCCUUUGCAGUGCUGAUGGAUUUGCUGGGUGGCACCGCCUUGCUGGUGGGAGUCUUUGUCCCUCUGACUAUCAAAGGCAGGGACUUUGGGGACCUCCUGGUGUACACAGGAGCACUGUUCGUGCUCAUGUCCCUGGGGGGCUGGGUGCUGUGGUACAGCGGAAACAUUGACGGCCUCGUCUCCAGCAAAGAGCUUGGCCACAUCGGCACCACCGUGGACCGACUGGCCCGCACCCUCAGCCGCAAGAUGCAUAUCCAUCGCCACCGGGGGCCUUAGGUCUGUGGUGACUGGCCAUAAAAGCAGGCUUCCCAUCUACACAUUGGUGCGUGGAUGCCAGACAUAUAUUGGCUCAAUCACCCCCAAUCUCCCCUCACAUUGAACGACUUCAAUAGUUCUUGUGCUAGUGCAGUAUUUUACAUUUUCUUCUGAGAUUUGAGUCCAGCAGUAUUAAAUGUGUGAUGGGUAAUUAGCACUGUUUUAUGCCAAGCAGUUGAAAUGCACUCACCUAGCAUGUUAUGUCUCCUGUAUAUUACAAACUAUUAAUGUCCAAAGUAAAAUAAAAAAGAAUAAUGCAAUUGCUCAUCUGUUAAAUCUGA